GCCGGGAUGGUCUAAUCGAUUAACGCGUCGCCCCGGACAGGGGAACAUUGCGGGUUCGAUCCCCGCUCCUGGCC
rnacentral:tRNA from 1 species